rnacentral:rRNA from 1 species
AUUGAACGCUGGCGGCAGGCCUAACACAUGCAAGUCGAACGAGUGGCGGACGGGUGAGUAAUGUCUGGGAAACUGCCUGAUGGAGGGGGAUAACUACUGGAAACGGUAGCAAAUACCGCAUACCAUCGGAUGUGCCCAUAGUGGAUUAGCUAGUAGGUGGGGUAAAGGCUCACCGAGGCGACGAUCCCUAGCUGGUCUGAGAGGAUGACCAGCCACACUUGAACUGAGACCCGGUCCAGACUCCUACGAGAGGCAGCAGUGGGGAAUAUUGCACAAUGGGCGCAAGCCUGAUGCAGCCAUGCCGCGUGUAUGAAGAAGGCCUUCGGGUUGUAAAGUACUUUCAGCGGGGAGGCGUUACCCGCAGAAGAAGCACCGGCUAACUCCGUGCCAGCCGCCGCGGUAAUUC